GCGAAGCUAACUCAGUCGGUUAGAGCGGCGGCCUUAUAAGCCGCUGGUGAUGGGUUCGAGUCCCAUGCUUCGCA
rnacentral:tRNA from 1 species